rnacentral:rRNA from 1 species
AUUAAACGCUGGCGGCAUGCCUUACACAUGCAAGUCGAACGGCAGCAUGGGUGCUUGCACCUGAUGGCGAGUGGCGGACGGGUGAGUAAUACAUCGGAACGUGCCCUGAAGUGGGGGAUAACGCAGCGAAAGCUACGCUAAUACCGCAUAUUCUGUGAGCAGGAAAGCAGGGGAUCGCAAGACCUUGCGCUUUGGGAGCGGCCGAUGUCGGAUUAGCUAGUUGGUGGGGUAAUGGCCUACCAAGGCGACGAUCCGUAGCGGGUCUGAGAGGAUGAUCCGCCACACUGGGACUGAGACACGGCCCAGACUCCUACGGGAGGCAGCAGUGGGGAAUUUUGGACAAUGGGCGGAAGCCUGAUCCAGCCAUGCCGCGUGAGUGAAGAAGGCCUCGGUUGUAAGCACUUCGUAUGGAGAAGUUUGUUGUUAAUAUACGAUAGAAUU